UCUCUUUGUUUUCGUUCUUUUAUCCAACAGCAAAGGCACUCUUUUUCUUAGCUCUAUGGAUUUCUUCUAAUUAAAGAGAACCCUUUAUCUCUUCUCUCUUAUGAAAGGGUUUGCAGAGGCAGCAAGCGGAACACCGAUGCAGAAGAUCACCUCAGCUUAGUGUAUAAAAUGAGAAAAAGAUUCACAAAGUAUGGCUAAAAGGAGCCCUUGUUUGUAUCUAUACGCAUCAUCCCACCCUCUCAACCUCUCCGUCUUGGGACAAUCAGUUGGAACAUGCGACAGAAGAAUUGGCACUGGAGUUUCCUAUUACAGAUGGAGAUUGGGAGUGGCCCUUCGUCGCGACACCAUCCACAACCUUCUUCUCAAAUUCACAAAGUGGAAAGGCCUCCUAAGCAAAAUGUUCUCACAGAAUUUCAAACUGUUAUCAAGGAAACUUUCUUCCACGAUGAACCCUUACGUGCUUUUCGGGGCCAAAGAAGUCAUACAAAGUUUUAUCUUGUACUCCAAGCAAUUUUCCCGAUUCUUGAAUGGGCAAGAAGCUACAACCUACAAAAGUUCAGAGGUGACCUGAUUGCUGGACUCACCAUAGCUAGCCUGUGUGUCCCUCAGGAUAUUGCAUAUGCAAAGCUAGCAAAUCUUGAUCCCCAAUAUGGGUUAUACUCUAGCUUUGUUCCACCUCUUAUUUAUGCCUGCAUGGGUAGCUCCAGAGAUAUUGCCAUAGGACCAGUGGCCGUGGUGUCUCUUUUGAUUGGAACUAUGGCGCAGAAUGAGAUUGAUCCAAAGAAAAAUGCUCUUGCUUAUAGGCGUCUUGUAUUCACUGCUACCUUUUUUGCUGGAGUCACUUAAUUCGCACUUGGCUUUUUCAGAUUGGGUUUCUUAAUUGACUUUUUGUCUCAUGCUGCCAUUGUUGGAUUCAUGGCUGGGGCUGCCAUUACUAUAGGCCUUCAACAGCUCAAAGGUCUUCUUGGUAUAACAAACUUCACAAAGAACACUGACAUUAUUUCGGUGAUGCAUUCAGUUUUUGGAUCAGUACAUCAUGGGUGGAACUGGCAGACCAUAGUAAUUGGGUUGUCAUUCUUGGCCUUCCUUUUGCUCACCAAGUACACCGUCAAAAAAUGCCCCAAAUUAUUUUGGGUAUCUGCUAUUGCUCCAUUGACCUCUGUCAUAGUAGCCACAUUCUGUGUAUAUAUUACCCGUGCUGAUAAGGAAGGUGUAGCAAUUGUGAACCGUAUAGAAAGGGGCAUAAACCCAUCAUCUGCUCAUGAAAUCUAUUGGACUGGAGAUUUCUUUCUCAAAGGUUUUAAGAUCGGUGUGGUAGCAGGUUUAAUAGCAUUGACGGAAGCUAUAGCGAUUGCUAGAACAUUUGCUGCUGUGAAGGACUACAAUGUGGAUGGGAACAAAGAAAUGGUGGCAAUGGGAACUAUGAACAUUGUUGGCUCCAUGACAUCUUGUUAUGUAGCUACAGGAUCAUUCUCUCGCUCGGCAGUAAAUUUCAUGGCUGGCUGCAACACAGCAGUUGCCAACAUUGUGAUGUCUUGUGUUGUUCUUCUAACAUUGGAAUUCAUCACACCAUUGUUUAAGUACACCCCAAAUGCUGUACUUGCUUCUAUCAUCAUUGCAGCGGUGUUUCCCCUAGUUGACAUUCCAGCUGCGAUGCUACUAUGGAAGAUUGAUAAAUUCGAUUUUCUUGCUUGUAUGGGAGCCUUCUUUGGUGUGGUCUUUAAAAGUGUGGAGAUAGGCCUUUUAAUUGCGGUGGCUAUAUCCUUUGCCAAAAUCCUCCUACAAGUUACAAGGCCACGGACUGCAGUACUCGGGAGGCUCCCAGGGACUCAUGUUUUCAGGAAUGUGGAGCAAUAUCCUAAUGCAAAAACUGUUUCUGGAAUUAUGAUUAUUCGAGUUGAUUCUGCAAUCUACUUUUCAAACUCCAACUAUAUUAAGGAGAGGAUUUUGAGAUGGCUAAGCAAUGAAGAAGAAGAUUUGAAGAUAAACAAUCAGCCCAGAAUCAAAUAUCUCAUCAUUGAAAUGUCACCUGUUACUGAUAUUGACACUAGUGGUAUCCAUUCAUUUAAAGAGUUGCAUAAGACACUUCAGAAUAGAGAUGUUAAGCUUGUUUUAGCAAACCCCGGGGCAAUAGUGACCGAAAAGUUGCAUGCAUCGGAUUUUACAAAAAAGAUCGGCGAAGACAUGAUCUUUCUCACAGUUGCAGAUGCUAUUGAAAUGCUGUCGCCGAGAAUUAAAGAACUACUAUAAAAUAGAUUACGAGUGAGGGUGUUAUGAAAGAAUGCAAAUAGCUAAUUAAGGUGUGAAGUUGGGGUGUUUAAAUUUCAGCCUGGGACAUUAACUCUGUACACUUUCUUUGUGGAUUGCACAUCAUAACUCCCAAAACGUUGCUAGGGAUAAUAGGCCGUCCACUACCUUGUGAUGGGAGUAUGUCGAUAACUUUAAUUGUGGAUGAGAGUAGUAGCCAGUAGGACAAGCAAUACCCAUCAACUAGUAAUAUUGUUAGUUUUAGAAAAUCAUCAAUAAUCGUGAGUGCCAUUGUUGUCGCAGUUGUUCGGGCACACCAUCUCAGAGCUCAUGUGAUAAAAAGGGUUCUCCCUCCACCUGCAACCCUAAUGAAUUAUAUUAUUAUUUUUUGGUUCAAUAUGUAUGCUGACGAAAAGAGGCGAUAAACGUUGAAGAGGAGGAGGCGAAGGAGGUGGGAGUAAAUUACCCAUAAAGUGACCAAAGUUGUUGUUGAGAAUGUUAAUAAUAGUAUUAUUAUUACGACUCAAUGAACUCUUUAUACUUCUACGCGAUCUGAUAACGAGGAAUUCGAUUAUGUGAGAAAGGACAAUGCCGAUGUCAAUAGAGGUAAGAAGAGGAAGAGGAAACCUGUAAAAACGCAAUUGUUUGAAGUCAAUAAUGUAGAGUAUAAUUGGAUUUUUGUACAUGAAUGUUUUCAUUGGAGGAGUGGUGUUGGAAAUGUGAUUUUAGAUUAUCAUGAAUUUGUGAGUGCUAAAGUGGGGAAAAUGGGAUUUUUGUACAUGAAUGUUUUUGUGGGGUGUGGGGCGGGUUAUAUAUUGGAAAUGUGCUUUGAGAUUAUUGUAAAUUUGUGUUUUUGUUUGGAUUAUA